UUGGGAUCUUGUCGCGUUGUAAAUAGACAUGGCAAGAUUUUUGUCUGGAAGGCGUGCUGCGUCCUGGUUUGUUGCGUUGGUCAGGGAGUCUGUAAGUAAGCUCGCCAAUUUUGCUUGCGUGUACCAGUCAGGAUUAAUAAGCUUUUGGAUGUAGCUGCAGCUGACCAUGACGACGGCGACGACUUAUCACUAGUUUUAUUAAAGCAACGCCUUGCGUUAUGACUGUAUAUCCAACGAGAAUUCGAAGAUCUGAAUUUGGUUGCACAGACAACUAGAACCUGUAGACGUUGUGCACAUCCUUUGAUUCUAGGAGCUCUUAAUUGUUACUCUGGUAAGUGGUAACUAGAACUGAACUUGCAAGAAGUAGCGCGCAACCUACUAUUCUAAUGGUGUAAUCUGUCGUACUUCAGUAAGUGUUAUUUACGUGUAUGAAGACCAGCGUAAUAUAUGUAUUUAUAAAAC